GCUUUGGUGGUCUUAUGUGGUUAGAGCGUGCGCCUUAGAUGCGCGAGGUCGCAGGUUUGAACCACGGUCGAGUCAUACUAAAGAA